UUUAACUACUACUGGUCUAAAUUUACUUUAGUGAAGAAAAUUUUGGCUCUAACUAAAACUCAUCUAAACUUUCCAUUUCACCGUGAUGUUUUCUUUUCUUGUAUUCAGCACAAGUCUUUUCUAAUCUAAGAAAUGGCUCUUACAGGCCCUCGUCAAAUGUUUGUUUUCCAAUUUAAAAGCAUUUCUCUGUACACAUACAUAAAACAUUAAAAGCUUCAGUGAUGUGUCCAAAGUUGCUCUAAGGCGGGAAUAGCUGAUCUGACCCUCCGCCAUCCACACAUAGGCGCUACUUCACAAAUGUGUCUGGGUAAGACCCUGCCCCAUCGGCGUCCCCUGAAACUUCUCUUCCUUCAAUCUCACUUUGAUAAGCACACAUGCUUGGACUCAAACAGGUCAUCUCCAGUAUCCAUUUCUUUUUUUUUUUUUUUUUUGAGUCGGAGUCUGGCUCUGUCGCCCAGGCUGGAGUGCAGUGGCGCAAUCUCGGCUCACUGCAAGCUCCGCCUCCCGGGCUCACGCCAUUCUCCUACCUCAGCCUCUCGGAGUAGCCGGGACUACAGGCGCCUGCCACCACGCCCGGCUAAUUUUUUUUUUGUAUUUUUAGUAGAGACGGGGUUUCACAGUGGUCUCGAUCUCCUGACCUCGUGAUCCGCCCGCCUCCGCCUCCCAAAGUGCUGGGAUUACAAGCGUGAGCCACCGUGCCCGGCCAAGUAUCCAUUUCUUUUGUUUUCUUUUGUCCCACAAUAGAGUUAUAAAUACACUGUCCGGUCGUCCAAAUGCUUCAAGUGGUUUUACAUGCUUUAUUCCAACGAUCUUCUCAGUAUCAAUGUAAGAACAGAGAGGAUGAAGAAAUUUCAAUCAUUCUUUAAGGGAAAAAAAAGGCAUUUAAAAUAUCAAUUAUUUUGUGAUUGGUUCAAGAUCUUACAGGUAUGGCAGAAUCAGAACUAAAGUACCAGUGUUCAGACCCUCACGAAUAUGGUGAAUUCAUUGAAAGGGGCCAGGCGGAGACCAAACUACACCGGUCGCGGUCAAGAGAUCUUUAAUGGAGGUAUGGAGCGGCACCACGCAAGAAGAAGGAAGAGAAGAGAGAGGGCUGCUGGCGUGCCCAAGGGAAGGCGGGAGAUGCUUCUUUCUGACUGGCCCUCCUUUGGCGGGUUCAGACAGUGCCCAGUCAAGGAGGGGAAAAGAACCGGGAACCGGCCCCAUCUUAAGGUACGGCGCCAUUUUAAGGUACCCCAUGUUACCUAACAUUCAUCCUCCUACUCUCUCUCAUAAUAUAGAGUAAACCUAAAUGUAACCUGAACCACUUAAAGGUGGGGUGGGGAGAAGGAGAGAAAAGAGGGGAAGGGGACCAUGAACAUUAAACCAUUACACUAGAAAUUUUCUUUGUUUCUAAACUGUCAUAGGAGUAGAGAAAAAAAAGAGAGAUUUUAAAAAGAAAUUUUCUUUCUUUUAAGCUACGUCCCUAUUGCUCACUUUGAAAAAAGAAUGAAAAUAGGCCAGGCACGGUGGCUCACGCCUGUAAUCCCAACACAUUGGGAGGGCGAGGUGGGUGGAUCACCUGAGAUCAGGAGUUCGAGACCAGCCUGGCUAACAUGGCAAAACCCCGUCUCUACUAAAAAUACAAAAAUUAGCCGGGCAUAGUGGUGUGUGCCUGUAACGCCAGCUACUGGGGGACUGAGGCAGGAGGAUCUCUUGAACCUGGGAGGUGGAGGUUACAGUGAGCUGAGAUCAUGCCAUUGCACUCCAGCCUGGGCAACAGAGUGAGACUCCAUCUCAAAAAGGAAAAUACAAAACACCCUCUUACCAAUCCUUACUCAGAAUUGAAAUUUUCUAUUUUUUGUGUGACUCUUUUACUAGAGAUGUUCUCUUUUACUGGUAAUCAGAGGGUCCAUGCCAUCUUAUACAUCCUCUCAAUGAAUAUGACUUCAUAGACUCAUCCCUGUCAUACCAUCCCAUUCUAAAGACAAAUAAAAUGUCUUAUUAGGCAAUAUUUGCCUUGACAUUCUGUUAUUUGGGAAUUUGCACUGUUUCGAUUUCAUUGGAAAUAAUGCUACCAUGAGAAACUUUAUUCUUCACAGUGAUUUGCAAUUUCCUGUGGUUUCUAGGCUACAAACAAUAAAGUUUUACCUCUUUUUAAUUAUUGUGAAAUUCUUCCCUGGAUAUAUUGUACCCAUUUACAGAAACAUCACCAAAGUGUAAGUGAAGAUGUUGUUCUACAUUUCAAUCAACGCUGGGUUUAAAACUCAUAUUUAUUUUUUUAAAGUGUCUUAGGCACAUAACUUCACUUUAAAGUUGUCUUAAUAUAUGUUCUUUCAGCUCCUAAUGAGGGUGUGUACUACUCAGGGUGAUAAUUUAUCAUCUAUAUUUCAUCCUGGGUCUCCUUCACUACUCACACUGCCUCUUUUUAAGCACUGAAUCAUGCCAUAGGUGGAGGAAGGGGACAAAAAUAAUUGUUUAAUCAUAACUAUACAACCAACUCUUUAUGAUGAAAAACAGAAUUCUCUACUUCAGGAAAAUGAGAUUAAAUUUAGCCUUCUGAAAAUGAGUUACAAUCAAGCGUAAAUACUUGUUAACAGGUUCACACAUAAGCACAUGAAAACAAAAUUGGCCAAGCUGAGGCAGGAGGAUCGUUUGAGACCAGGAGCUUGAGACCAGCUUGGGCGACAUCAUGAGACCUCAACUCCAAAAAAAAUUUUAAAAAUUAGCCGAGCAUAGCGGUGCACACCUGUAGUCCCAGCUACACAGGGAGGAUCAUUUGAGCCCAGGAGUUCGAGGUUACGGUGAGCUACGAUCUCACCACUGCACUCCAGCCUGGGCAAAAAAGUGUGAUGGGAGGAAGGAAGGGAGGGAGGACGGGAGGGAGGGAAAGAAAGAAAAGGAAGAAAGGAAGGGAGGAAGGAAAACUGACUGGUCUAAGAGGGAGAACGCUUUCCCUCCUCUCUCCUCUAUGCCCUUCUCUCAGACAAACCCCAAUUUCUCCAUCAUGACAGGGCUGUUCAAAAAGUCAUCAAGGUGUAGUCUUAUCCUUUGAAUGAUUCUCCUUCUUACCUCAACAGUUAUCUCUAUGUCCAAAACACCUCUUCCUUUCCAUUCCCACUGCUCCACGGUUUGGGCCUUCCUCACUUCUGCCCAGACUAGCAAAGUCAUGUUCCAGCUUCUAGUCUUUGUCCUAUUCUAUGUGGUACUAUCAGAGGAACUACCUAUAGUACAGCUCUGACCCUGUCUCUGCAGUGUACACAAUUCUGAGGUGAUUUAUGCACUGACAAACCAUAUCCCAACUGGUUCUCACCAAGAAAACGCAUUGCCAGGAGCUCUUCACUGGUACCUCCUUUGGUAUUUAAAAGCUUCUUGAGGAACGUGAAUGUGCCUUAUCAUAGUGCUUGGCAAGACUCUAAGAGUACUCAAAAGAACUAAUUUCGAGUUUUCUGUGUACUAUUUCAUAAUACCCAGUCAUCAGAUGUAAGCUGAGUAAAACCAGUGUCUUAAUUGUAUCUCCCACUGUUCGGUGCUUUCAGUGUGGAAUUUCUACAAAUCAUCAUUGAAGAAAUGAACUGUGGAACCAAUUGCUCUUUAUUGAAUCCACUGGUUGAGUGCUCUAGAAUAAGCCACCUAGAAACAUGCUGGUAUUUAAAACAUCAAUGACAAGGAAGAUAGUAAUACUCAAAAUACUCCCACGAAUUUGUUUUUGAAAAGAAAUUAUUGUAAACACAAAAUAAAUGACAGGCCUUCAGGUGAAGCUCUAUUAUCAUAUCAUACCUAUGACUGACACCAGCAAAGAUACGGAUGUGCCUCAGGAAGAAAUGUGUUACCAAGACACUAAUCCAUAUAUUUUCUAAAGAAAUCGCACGUCCUAAAAAUAUAAUCCUUCCAAAAUUGUUAUUAUAAGUAAGGCAAGGCUUAGUUUGCUUGAUCAGAUUUUGACCAAUAAUAAUAAGAAAAAGAAUGGAAACCCCCCCUUGACAAUCAGUUACACAUUCUCCUUAAUCCCAGCAUGAUGUAACAGACACUGUCUGAACUCAUAGUUGGAAUUCCAAGUUCAUGCUCUUUCUUUCGUUAGUUUCAUGACCUUGGGCAAGUCACUUCACCCUAGGAUGUCUCUGUUUCUUCACCUGGGAAAUGAGAAUGUUUGGCUCUGAUCUUUCAGAUUUCAUCUAGCUCCAGAAUUCAAUGAUUUAUGAGUAUUUAAAAUAAGCUUUUUACUGAUAUAUAUAACAGCAUGAAUGAAUCUCAAAUGCACAAUGCUAAGUGAAGAAGCCAGAUUCGAAAGGCUACCUAUUCUAUGAUAAUAUUCACAUGACAUUCCGGAAAAAACAGAACCAUAGGGAUGGAGAGCAGGUCAGUGGUUACUGGGGACUGGAGGUACAGGGGAUUGUUUGACUACAAAGGGGUAGCACGAGGAAAUGUUCUUUGAGGGUGGGGUAACAGAACUGUUCCACAUCUUGAUUGUGGCAGUGGUCUUGAACUCCUGGCCUCAAGCCAUCCUGCUGCCUUCGCCUCCCAAAGUGCUGGGAUUCCAGACGUUAAGCCACCGCACCCUACCCUAUGUGGCAGUGGUUAAUCCAGGCAUUUGCCAAAAUUCACAGAAAUGUACACCAAAAAGAGUACAUUUUACUGUAUGUGAAUUAAAAUGAUUUAAGGUAUUAGAAAAUUUAUUUCUCCAAAUCCAAUGCAUCUUUGAUGACAUAAUAGCUGGACAAUAUCCCCCAAGAAAUUAACACCAACCUUCUGGAUUUACUUUUGCCGUUUUAAGACUGAUGAACCAGGUUUACACCCAAAUAAUUUGCGGUGUGUUUUUACGGUGGUGGUGGUGUUAAUCUUUCAAUGGACAUUCUACAGAAUGCUUCUGUGUAGCUCUGUUUUCCAGUGUGGAAUAUCUAAAAAUGAAACAGCGAAAUGAACUCUAGCGGGAGUGAUUCUAGGGCUGCCCAGGACCUGUGUGGUCUUCAUGGAAUGUUAGAAUGUUGUUGUUAUCUUUGUGAUUCAUACUAAAGAUAUGAGGCACACAACAGGAAUGACAAUAACAACACAGCAAUAAUAGCAACAGCUAACAUUUAAUCAGCACUUAGUAGGUUCCAGGCACUGUUUUAAGUGCUUACCUACAGCUGAAGUGCUACAGUAGCUCAUUUACUUCUCAGAACAAUCCUGUACUAGGUUAUAUUGCUAUCUCAUUUGACAGUUGAGAAGAUCAAACAAUGUUCUCAAGGUCAACUUGCCAGUGGGUGGCAGAGUCAGAAUGCAAACCUAGACGGUCUAACUCUUACCACAAAGCUAAAGCUGCCUAGAAAAGCUUCAUUUAAAGAAUAACUUAUUCAUCUUCGUGGAGAGUCUGUGGCUACUACUACAUGCUUCCACAAAUUCUUAUCUAGGCUUUCUUCAGAAAUUGGACAGGCCAGGCAUGGUGGCUCACGCCUAUAAUCCCAGCACUUUGGGAGGCUGACACUGGCAGAUAACUUAAGGUUGCAAGUUUGAGACCAGCCUGGCAAACAUGGUGAAACCCCGUCUCUACUUAAAUACAAAAAUUAGCCAGGCAUGGUGGCAAGCGCAUGUAAUUUCAGCUACUUGGAAGGCUGAGGCAGGAGAAUCGCUUGAAUCCAGGAGGCGGAGGUUGCAGUGAGCCAAGGUUGCGCCACUGCACUCCAGCCUGGGCAACAGAGUGAGAUUCUGUCUCAAAACCAAAACCAAAACUACAACAACAACAAAAAGACAGAGAAAGAAAUUGGACAGAGGGCUUUCUCUAAUUAGGACAAGCCAGCAUCUCCAUCUCUGUCUGGUGAUUUCAUGACGUCUGCAUAGCAAAAAGCCCUACAUACACUAUUUUACACAAUCAGGUACAACUGCUUUUUCCUAUUCCAUUCUCCUUGCUCGCAGCAAAGCUGGCUUUAGCUGACAGGCAAGAUUUUUUUCCUAAAGCCUUCCAAGAUAAGGUAAGAGAGGGGCUGAGCUUCUCCUACCUGCCACCAGUUAGGGUCUACCUUUUCUUUAAAUCAUUUUCACUAUUUUAUGUAGGUUUAAGCCUCUGGGUAGAAAUCUGUCCCAAAGCAGACAAGUUCCUGUUCCUGAAAUGACUAAUUCCUUGCACAAGGCAAGAGGCUGGUUAGAACCCUUUCAACUAGAGAGGAUGAUCAGUUUAAAAAAACAAAACAAAACAAAAACAAAAAAAAACAGGACCAAGGACCAAGCUGCUGAGACUGAAGGAAACCACACAAACAAAAACAAUACACCCAUUAGACAGUACUUGUAAGGUAUUCAGACCCUGAGAAAUUAGUUUGAAUGCAGUAGAAAGGCAGAUUACAGGAGAGAAAGGGCUCCCAACUAGUUCAAGGGUUUGUUUAGUCUACUUAUCAAGCCCAAACUAAUCAUCUUAAUGGCUGUUUAUGCCCAGAACAGGGCCUUUCAAAGAAAGCAGGGCAGACCCAGGCUAGCAACCUUCCUCUCUUCAAGGACUGCAACCUUCUCCUCUCCAAGGACCCCACGAUUCUCCUUACUAAGGAUCCCCACUCUGGGCAGGUAAAACAGUAGGCCAUAGUUCUAUUUAUUUCCUAUCUUCAAACGAGACUAUACACUCCAAAAAGCAGUGGGGUAUCAUCUCUGUUGUCCGUUGCUCUAUCUAGCUUAUAGAUAAUUUUUGAGAUAAAAACUUGAUAUAUAUAUAUAAGAUAUAUAUAUAUAUAUCUCAGAGGGUUAAUGAACUGUCUGGAGGGAAAGAUGGGAACUCAGACUUAAUUUAAAUCCUUGCUUUUCCCCGAUGCAGACACUGAAACCUUGCGAAUGAGCGUCAACAGGUGCCUUCCUCCUGCAAGGAAACUUUUACAAAAUCUUCAAGGCAAGGUCCAUUUACAUCAGGAUUUCAUCCAGCCAGAAGACACUGUAUGGAAAGACCAGUUCCCCUUCUCCCGCCCUUCUCGCUGUGCGUGGCAGCUCAGUGGAGGUCUGGACACUUGCCACUGAGUGCCAAGAGCAAAACCCAGGCCAAUCAGCAGGGCGGAUCCAAGCCCCUGACUGCAGCAGAGGUGCCUCUCCGCAGCCAGGCUGCAGCUACCCACAGCCUUGGGGCCGCCCUGACCCUGCCUCAGGCAGGAGCCCCGCCCCCUUCUCAAAGGACGUCACAGAGUACCUGCCCUUGGGGUGCCAGACAUCUUUCUUUGCUCUCUUUUUUUCAGAUUCAAUUUGCCUGAAUAGGAAGAACCUCUCCUCCUUCCUGCCUAAUCUAUUCCCAGAAAUCUCAGCUGCUCUCCCCAACUUUCACAGAGCAAAUCAGUAGGCCCACCACUGCCCAUGUUGGAGAUCACACUGAGCCUCGUCUGGACCCCCCACUGCUUCUGGAGCAUCUCCACAGACAGGUCAAAGCUGCAUAUCCAAACCUGAAUCCUUCAUCUUCCUCUCCCUCUUGACCCCCAAUUGGCAACACCACCCUGCGCACCAGGCUGAGGGUCAGGCUUAACUGUCCCCUCUCCCCAUCUCCUACAUCCUCUGCAAGCUUUCUAAAUUUUAUUUCACACACAUUUCUCAAAUCCAGCUCCCAGAAUUUAGAUAAGACCACAGCCCUAGUUCAAGCCCAAAUCCAUCCUCCUCACUGCCCUUCUUGCCCUCUCUUCUUUCCAGGGGCCGCCUAACACAGAAGUCUAACUCCAUCGCCCUGUGUCCCUCUGCCCUACCCUCCAAGCCCCCCAGUAACAUCUGAGAACCCAUGUUCCUUUCCACUGUCACCCACUCAAUCCUUGCGGCAGGGACCUGCACUGGUUCCUACCCCCCCCCACAGGAAGCUUCCUGCUUCCUGCUCAGGCUCCACCCUCUCCACAGAAAGGCCCCUCCUCCCCUUCACCCAGCUAAUAACUCUGACUUUGUUCAGGGACUCCCCACCUCCACACUGGGCUAAGUGCUUCAUACACAUUUCUGUCAUUGGAUCAAGCUCCUAAAGGGCAGGGACUGGGUAAUAUUUCCCUGUGUAGUCUCAGCACCCAGUUACACACUGUGGGCUCCUGUUACACACAGCAGGCUCUCAGCAAUUGGGAUAUUGCAUUUGUACUUUCAAAUUACUAGCGGAUGCUCUCUAUUACCUACCACAGGGCAAUCAAUACCUAAGUCUGCCUUAGACCCAUUCUGGUGCUACCUAUUUAAAGAAGGCAGACUCCUAGACACCAAGGGUUGUGUCUAUGGAACAUAUUUUGUCUAGCAACUUACGCACUUUGGGGUACUUAAUAAUGCGAUGGAGUUGAAGAUGAUGACGGUGACAAUGACGUCAACCAGGACAGGAAACUGGAGAUGAUUAGACAUCCUUUAUUCUCCAAGGCUGUGUAGCUGCUUAAAACAGUUCUCGAUGAGUCACAGAAUGACAGCUCAUUUAUCUUGAAACCUUAACUAACCAGAAUACAGCAUGGACCCUCAGUCAGACACACUUCUGAGAAGCCAAAAUACGUAUCAGAAAGUCCACACACAAGUUAAAGAGGUAACUUGUGGAAGGGGUCAUCUGGUCUGCAUUCAGGGCCUAUUUGUUCUUGCUUAACGUUCACCUUGAUAAUCUGUGCGAUCUGAUUCCUCAGUCACAGCAAGUUAUUUGACGUAAAAUAUGAGAAGAGGUGAGGUGGCAAGAGGCUCUGGGGACUGACACAGUGGGAGCAGUGCAGAAGAGAGAACCCUGACAAACUUUAGAAGAACACAAAGUACAUAGUAGUCUUGGGAUGGCUCAUGUUGAGGGACAACGAGUUCCACACAUAUUAACAAACCCUAAUGACACCAUCACACAAUAAAGGUACAAUAUUUACCCUCACAAUGAUGAGCGAGAUACCAAGAAAGAGUUACAUUCUGUGCAAUGUUUUCUACCUGCAGAGAAAAGGAAGUUGAGAGAAUAUUUUAAGAUGAUUUCUAUCAAGGUGAUUUUUUUUUAAGGAGUUUUAGCAUUUACUGGAGUAGAUUGCGUUUAUCUGGAAAUUUUACUGCUGAGAUACCUGACAAAUGAGCCAUUGCUUAACUUCAUCCAGCAUGGAACUAUUAAGUAGCCACGGCACAGGCCUUGCCCACCAAGAGUGCACAGCCUAAAACAGCCCAAUACCCUGGAGAAUACAUUUGUAUAUUUAGUUUUAUUUUAAAACACAGUGAAACAGGAAACCCUAUCUGCCAGAAAACUGCCAAAUAUAGCAUGUCCCACACCUCCCCAUCCAUGCAAAACACAAACGGACUAAGAUUUCAAUUUAGGACAAGAGCAUAAGAGAUGAGUCUAUUCCAAGGCAGGUUCCACUUGGGAAAUGAUCAUCUUCUUUUGGUCUUGAUAACCCACUCUCCUCAGUCUCUCUCUCCUUUCCUCUCUCCCUCCACCUUUCACCACCUCAUCUCAGCUCCUUCAGUGUACAGGAGCUGCUUAGACGAAGAAGAAGACGAAGCCGAGGUUUUGUUCGCUUUGUUACAGUCCCAUGGUCAUUUCCUUAGGGGGUCGGCAAGUACAACCAAAGUAAAUCCAAAGAAAGGAAGGAUGAGAGAUACCUGGUUAUUUUUCACAAAAGAUAGGGCUUUGAAAUGGGAUUUUAAAAAAAGUUGGGAAGCAUUAAAGGGAAAAUCUUCCCGAAACCGGAUACUAAAGAAGGAAUGUACUGAAGGAAGACAGGGGGUGAAGAGGGGCCAGAAAGAAAAAAAAAGGUUAAUUUUAUAAAUAAUACCAAAGAGUUAAGUGGAGAGAAUGACGGGAAAGAAGCUAAAGUUUGGCCACUUAUCUGACCAUACCUGCAAAACUGGAAAUUUCACAACCUCAUCUCCCAGCUCACGUUCCUUCCUGGCGACAAGAGGGAAGUGAAGACUGUUAACCAGAUGGGAAAAGUUACCACAAUAUUUCCAAUAUUGUGUUUCCACCAAAUAUUUCCAAACUGGCAUAGGACAGAGGGCAUGAACCAGCUAUCAUUGACUGGCUUGGCAUUUUUGUCAACCUGCCUGUAUUAAGAAACUUGUCUUGAAAAUAGCAUUUUUACUUAAAGCUAAAAGCCUUCAAGUCCUCCACGUUUUUCUCCACUACGAAGUAUUAGAAUAGAGAGAAUAAGCUAUCAUUCAUUUAUUCAACACUUACUGAACACCUAUUAAUUAUGUGCUCGGUCCAGGGAGUUCUUAAGAGUUCUCACAUUUUCAAAAACUGGGAGAACUUCUAUUUUGCAUGUGUGAAGUGUGUUUAUUUAUACCCAAACAAUAUUGUGAUAAAGAACAUUUGCAGUUCACUCAAACGGUCAAAGGUUUUUUGAAUCCAAGCUCUAUUACAUACAAUGUGCACGUCCUUGGGCAAAUUAUUUCUCUAGACCUUGUUUUCUUCAUCUGUGUAAUGGGGAACUAGGUUUCAUCAUUUUUUAUGAAGAUUAAGUGAAAUAUCAGCUGGCAAGCACUUAACAAGCUGGCACAUGGCAUUCAAGCAAUCAUGCAUUUAGUAAAUAUUUAUUGAGCACCUCGUAUAUGCCAGGCUCUGUUGCAAACACAGAGCCUCAGCAACCAAAAGGAGAAGCCAGAUUCCCCCUUCCUUAUCCUUUCCAUAUCAUCACCAGGACUUCUCAAGGGCUCUGAAAGCCUGUGAAAAUGCAACCAACUGGACGCCGUACCAAUGCCAAACACCAUUAUUUUCAAUAUCUCAUGGUGAUCUGCACCAAGGAUUGAAUUUGCAAGUGAGAUUCACGCUGCCCAUGAGUCCUGGGCACAAAGGCCAUGUGGCUACUGGUCUGCAUCAGGCUAUUCACCUGGGGACCCAAGAGCAGAGCCCUGGAGCCACCCACACCCUGGCCUCCAGGGUUUAGACAGAAAUAGAACUUAAGAGACAUAGGUUGCUGUCUCUCUUGCCUUUUUGCUCUUAAAAUGAGAAAGGUGACUUAUUUUGAGGUGGGGGAGGGAUGCCCUCUAUUCAGAGGAAGUUCCCACAUGAACUGCUACAUUGUUUCUCUGACUCAUUUUUACUUUUCCUCCCCAUUCCUUCCCAGCCCUCCCUUGAUGUCUCGGUCUGUUCCAUAUGUGGUACAAUAGGCUCUUUGUUUAUAAGAUUCUAAUGUGCAAUAAAAUCAGUUAUGAGGCCAAGAAUAAUUUAUGCACAAAAAAAUAAGGACAGUAAAAUUGACAUGAAUUGUCUGUUUUACAGUACUUUUUGAUCUGUUACAUUCCUGUUGAUAGAAUUGAUAGACACUAGCUAAAAACUUUAAGUGUUCAUAAAACUCUAUUCACAUUGGAAGUAUAUCAGACACACACACACACGUGCACACAAACAACUCAGGAGCAAAACAUUUUUAAAAGCCUUAAGCAAAAUACUGAGUUCUUAAUUUUGUUACUGGCACAAGCAUCCACCCAGUCUCACAAGUAAGAAAUCUGUAGCUAUUUUCUUUUUUUUCUUUCUUUCUGUCUUUGUUUUUAGAGACAGGGUCUCACUCUGCCACCCAGACUGGAAUACAUCUGGCACCAUCAUAGCUCACCGCAGUCUCGAACUCCUGGGUUCCAGCAAUCCUCCUGCCUGGAGUUAUUUUCAGUGGGUAAGGCAAUGAGGUUUCAUGGGAAAUCAUAGACAGUUUGUAGCCAAACAUGCUUGGCUCUGAAUCUCAAUCCUAUUCACUUCUAGCUAGGAGAUUUUUAAACGUCUCAAAGCCUCAGUUACUGCAUAUGAAAAAUGUAUUUUGGCGAAAAUUAAAUUAGAUAAAGGAUGAGCAGAAUGUCUGAACACGUGUUUGACAAUCAGAAAGUUAUUUCUCCAACCUCCCUUCCCCAACACACCUCUCAAAAUCUUUCUUUUCCAUUCUAUCACUCAGUUUCAGCUCUCCUGGACUACUGCCCUCCAACAGGUUUUUCAGCCUUUUGUCUACUACUCCUUCAAACCAUCCCAAACCUGCUAUUAGAAACAGCAUUCAAAAAUCAGAAAUUUGAUGAUGGCACUCACUGCCACAAAUCCUCCUAUGGCGAUAACAUUCAGAACAAAUCUGCAUUCAGAGAAAGUCCGCGUGUCCCCAACUCAUCUGUUCAGCCUCACCUCCCCCACGACCACCCCACCCCUGCCCCUUGAACGACCGCAGCCCCCACGUUCCAGGCACCCAGUCAUUGUGAGUGGAGCAUGCCAUCUGCUCUGGUGCAUGGACUCUCACUGCCACUCCUCCGGGAUGCCAGCCCCACUCCACUCCCUCCCAUCUGUAGAGAUCACUGUCUCCUUCAAGGCUUAGCCCCAGUGCCACUUCCUCUCUGCAACGUUCCCGGAUUUCCUCUGCUGACUCAAGCCUCCACUCAUGUGUCUAUGCCUUUCUCAAGUUUAUUAUUUAAACUUUUGUUCUCCAGUUAUCCAUAUCUAUGAGGGUCUACCCCACUAGACUCAGUUCCUCCAUGACAGAGACCAAAUUGUAUUCAUUUUUACAAACAGUCCUCAAGUUUUAUCAUUCCUUGCAAGAAGAAAAUAAAACCAAAUAGAUAAUUUAUUGAACUGAAAGGACAGAAUGAGGAUAGAAGAAACUAAACAAUGCCCCGUGAAUAGAGGCAUUUCUUAGUGGAAAAACAUAUAUAUGUGUGUGUAUGUUUGUAUAAUGUAGAAAUGGAGCAAGCCAUUACCAAAGUGCUUCAAAUUCUGGCAAAACUAAGAUGCACUUAAAAUGAAGUCUUAGGUGUAUUUAAAAAAAAAAAAAAGGUUUCAAAAACCUCAGCAAACCACAGAGGUAUACACCAUAUGUGGUAGAUUAAAAAUGACCACAAAUUCUUUGAUCGUUCUUCCAUGGACAGAUGUGUCUAUUCCACACCCUGCAUCCACCACUUUCAAAGGUGAGUUGCCUAUAACUGCUUGGACCAAUCAAGUAUGGGAGUGAUUUUGAAUAUGGGAGUGAUAUUAUGCCAUUUCCAAACCUAGUGCUUAAUAUGACUAACAGCUUUGGCCUUGGCCUCUUGAAACCUUGGGCUUCCCUGUAAGAAAUAUGAGUACCCUAAUGGAGAAACCACAUGGAAUGGCUCCAAGGCUCUAUGGAGAGGCAGACUGGCCCAGUGGGGAGCUCAGUCUUCCAGGCAUCCUUGUCAAGGUGCCAGGAAGGUGAGUGAAGCCAUAUUGGAUCCUCCAGACCAGAGCAGCCAUUGACUGACUAACAGCGAGGGACCAGAGUCAAUGCUACAUGGAAUAGCAGAAUCACCCAGCUGAGCCCUGCUUGAACAAAAUGACAGAUAUAAUCAAAUAAUGGUUGUUUUAAGCCAUCAAGUUUUGGUAUGGUUUGCUAGUUAGCAACAGGUAACUGGAACACAAUCUUAAUCCCUUUUAGCCCAGCUUCCUACCCUACCUAACAGAAUACUUUUCCUCCAAAGGGAGGAAAGUGGCCUUGUGUAGAAUAGAGCUCCCAAGUCACUGAUGGUCUAGUUGAGGGGAUGAGAAACUCACCAGGCUCUUGGACAGUUGCAGUUGUAACGCACUUGUGUAAUGUAUAAUACACAUUUCUUUAAGAUAAGUUCAGUUUACCCACAGCUGUUCUAUCUGUCAACAGAUAUUGGGUCAAAUGUGGUUAAUAACUUCAGGAACAAUUUGGUAGAAUACUACUCAGGAAGCCAGGAGACCCUCCAUUUCAGUCUUUUACCAUCCACAUCUCUUGUGUAUAUGAGGAAGAAAUGUUUGUGUCUUCAUUUGCCUAGCUAUCACAUGAAGAGAAGCAUACAUGAUACCUCUUAGAUCAGUGUAAAUUAGAAAUGAAAUCAGGUUAUGGAUUGAAAACACCUUCAGUUUCUUGGCCAAAAAAAUGCUAGGUAAACUCAAGGUACUAUUAUUAUUUUGCAAAUAUGUUGUUCCACUAUAUAAAAUAGCCUAAAUUAGUAAAUGCAAUUCCAUGUGCUGGGUCAGCUGAGCAUUUUUUUUUACAUUUGCCAGAUUCCCCUUGUUUUGUCUUUCUAGCCAAUAAAACAACACUAAAAUAUAUGGAGAAUGUAACUAACUUUUGAAAAAGAGAUAACAUAAGUUGGAACCAGAAGAAGUCAUCUGUGCCAUAAGUUUGUGUCUUCUAUGAGCCAUCAGCCAGGCAAAACGAAGUGGGAAACUUGAAACUUAACAUGUAUAAAUGAUUUGUGUUGUUUUGUUUUAAUGCUAAGUACUCAGCAAAAAGCUGAGUUAUUAGAAAAUGGACACUAGCCUGUGCUUGUGGGCAUAAAUUCUCCAUCUAUGAGAAGGCAUGAAUUGAGGCACUAUAUUGAUUACAUUAUGUCGUUUAUUCUCAUACAACUCUAUAUUGUAGAAACGAUUUCCAGCCCCAUCUUCAAGAUGGGAAAUGGAAGCCUAGAGAGACUUUGUUAUUCUUCUAUAUCUGUAUUUAGCAAUUGCUAUUGCUGCCAUAAGAAAAUAACACAGGGUGGCUUGAACAACAGAAAUUUAUUUUCUCACAGUUCUGGAAGCUAGAAGUCCAAGAUCUCUCCUGAGGCCUCUAUCCUUGGCUUGCAGAUGGCCGCCUCCUAUCUGUGUCCUCACACGUGGCCUUUUCUCUGUGCAUGCUUAUGCCUGAUGUCUCUUCCUCUUCUUAAAAUGACACCAGUUAUACUGGACUAGGGCCCCACCCUUAUGACCUCAUUUAACCUUAAUUAUCUCCUUCAAGGCCCGCCCUCCAAAUACAGUCACAUUGAGGAUUAGGGUUUCAACCUAUGAAUUUUGCAGGCACAUGAGUCAGUCCCUAAGAACUCUACAAAUCACCAAGCCAGUCAGUGCAGAGCCAGAGUACACACCCUGGCUCCCUGCCAUUGUCCGUGGUCCCCCUGAUUACUAUCCGUGGUGCUUCACCAUCCCAUCACUGCCUCAGUCUAUGUCCAUAGAAAAUGGCCUUGUGUAAGAUUACUCAUCAACACCAAGUGAAGAGAAUGAAGGCCACAGCAGGAAGUAAAGGAAAGAAGGGAAGCUGAAGCUAUAGGAACACAAAUGUAAAAUCCAGAAAAAUGGACACUUAACAAGGCAGAAAGUGCAGCUCACACCUAAACCUAUUCUAUGGCCAGACUCCCCUCACCGUCCCCAUAAUGCAGGCCUUGUUGUAACGGCCGGAAACUCCCCGACCCCACUCUCAACGGUGAGGAAGGACCACUGCUUGCUCUCCUACUAGAAGUCAUUGGCAGGGCACAACUCAAUCACGUGCUUUUUGCAAAAUUACAGGAUAAUAUACAAUUUAAUUUUUUCAUCACAUUUUUGCAACCAAAAAAUUUCAAAGACCUUGGAGUACUAUAUAGCUAAUAAAUGCAAUUAAUAAAGAUUUUGUGAUCAGCUAAAACAGGUUAAAUCCCAAAAAGCAAGACAUGAUUUUUCUCCCUCUUUCAGAUAAUGCAGGGAAGCAUCUCAUAUUUAUAAAGCACAAGCUUUCAACUAUAUUGGAUUUUCCUUUUAAAAAGAACAAUAAUUUAAAGUGGCUUCUAGCAGAGAAAUGUUAGGUACAUUUAAAUGGGUAUUUGUGUUCUGAAAAUCCUAAUUGGAACUCUUUUAUUGUUGUUGUUUAUAUGUGUGUUUGUUGUGCUUCUGAGAAAGGGCUGAGGUUCUUUUGUGCAUUAGAAAGCCUUUCAUCUAAAAUUCCAGUUUCAUACA